rnacentral:rRNA from 1 species
GCCUAAACACAUGCAAGUCGAAGCGGAUGAAGGGAAGCUUGCUUCCUGGAUUCAAGCGGCGGACGGGGUGAGUAAUGCCUAGGAAUCUGCCUGGUAGUGGGGGGACAAAACGUUUCGAAAGGAACGCUAAUUAACCGCAUACGGUCCUACGGGAGAAAGCAGGGGGACCUUUCGGGGCCUUGCGCUAUCAGAUGAGCCUAGGGUCGGAAUUAGCUAGUUUGGUGAGGUAAUGGCUCACCAAAGGGCCGACGAUCCGUAACUGGUCUGAGAGGAUGAUCAGGUCACAACUGAAACUUGAGGACACGGCCCCAGACUACCUACGGGAGGCAGCUAGUGGGGAAUAUUGCGCCAAUGGGGCGAAAAGCCUGACGCAGCGACGCCCGCCGUGUGUGGGAUGACGGUUCUUCGGAUUUGUAAAACCACUGUUCGGGAGGGACGAAGCUCUUGACGGUACCUCCAAAGGAAGCCACCGGGCUAACUCUGUGCCAGGCAGCCGCGGUAAUACAGAGGGUGGCGAGCGUUGUCCGGAAUCACUGGGCGGUAAAGGGGCGGCGUAGGCGGGCCUGAUAAGUCGGGGGUGAAAUUCUGCGGCUUAACCGCAGGGACGGCCUUCGAGACUGUCGGGCUUGAGCACAGUAGAGGCAGGUGGAAUUCCCGGUGUUAGCGGUGGAAUGCGUAGAGAUCGGGAAGAAACAUCGGUGGGCGGAAAGGGCGGCCUGCUGGGCCUGUGUGCUUGACGCUGAGGGGCGCGGACAAGGCGUGGGGGAGCAAACAGGAUUAGAUACCCUGGUAGUCCACGCCCGUAAAAACGAUGGGUACUAGACGUCGGGGGGAGCGGACCCCUUCGGUGCCGUCGGCUAACGCAGUAAGUACCCCGCCUGGGGGAGUACGGCCGCUAAGGCUGUAACUCAAAGGGAAAUUGACGGGGGGCCCCGCACAAGCGGUGGAGCAUGUGGUUUUAAUUCGAAGCAAACGCGAAGAAACCCUACCCUGGGCUUGACAUGCACGGGAAAGCCGGUGGGAAACAUCGGUUCCCUCUUCGGAGUCCGUGCACAGGUGCUGCAUGGCUGUCGUCAGGCUCGUUGUCGUGAGAUGUUGGGUUAAGUCCCGCAAACGAGCGCAAAACCCCUCGUCCCUAUGCUACCAGCGGGUAAAGCCGGGCACUCUAGGGGAGACUGCCGGUUGUCAAAACCGGAGGAAGGGUGGGGACGACGUCCAAGUCCAUCAUGGGCCCUUACGGUCCAGGGCGACACACACGUGGCUACAAUGGGCCGGUACAACGCGUCCGCCCAAACCCCGCGAGGGUGCGCCUAAUUCGCUAAAAGCCGGUUCUAAGUUUCGGAUUGUAGUCUGCAAACUCGACUACAAUGAAGCUGGAAAUCGCUAGUAUAUCGCGGAUCAGCCACGGCCGCGGUGAAUACGUUUCCCGGGCCUUGUACACACAACCCGCCCGUCACGCCAUGGAAGCUGGGGGGGGACCUGAAGUCGGUUGGGCCAACCGCAAAGGGGGCAGCCGCCCAAAAGGUCAAUUCAAGUGACUGGGGCG